UGCGUAGGCGGAACUUUAAGUCAGUGGUGAAAUCCUGCGGCUCAACCGUAGAACUGCCAUUGAUACUGAUGUUCUUGAAUAUAGUUGAGGUAGGCGGAAUGUGUAAUGUAGCGGUGAAAUGCUUAGAUAUUACACAGAACACCGAUUGCGAAGGCAGCUUACUAAGCUAUGAUUGACGCUGAGGUACGAAAGCGUGGGGAGCGAACAGGAUUAGAUACCCUGGUAGUCC
rnacentral:rRNA from 1 species